CGCCUCCAUUAGGCAUGAGGUUGGGCGGUAGGUUGUAGAAUGGCAUCGACGAUGGGUCUGUCAGUCCGGGCACGCCGACGGCCGCACCCAUCCCGCCGUUUCCUCCCGGCGCCGGUACAUCCGGCAACUGCAUCCCGUCGGAUCCGGUGGCCGCCACGGCCGCCUCGCCAGGCUCUUCCUCGGCGAGCGGGAGGCGCUCGUAGGUGGCGUUGGAGAAGGUGGCCGCGACGACCAUGACAGGGCCAGACGCGACGAGCUCCCCGAUGACCGUGCCG
rnacentral:lncRNA from 1 species